rnacentral:rRNA from 1 species
UACGGAGGGUGCAAGCGUUAUCCGGAUUUACUGGGUUUAAAGGGUGUGUAGGCGGGCUAUUAAGUCAGUGGUGAAAUCUCCGGGCUCAACCUGGAAACUGCCAUUGAUACUAUUAGUCUUGAAUUCUGUUGAGGUGGGCGGAAUAAGUCAUGUAGCGGUGAAAUGCAUAGAUAUGACUUAGAACACCAAUUGCGAAGGCAGCUCGCUAAACAGACAUUGACGCUGAGGCACGGAAGCGUGGGGAUCAAACAGG